rnacentral:rRNA from 1 species
CAUUACCGAGUUUACAACUCCCAAACCCCUGUGAACAUACCUUAAUGUUGCCUCGGCGGAUCAGCCCGCGCCCCGUAAAACGGGACGGCCCGCCAGAGGACCCAAACUCUAAUGUUUCUUAUUGUAACUUCUGAGUAAAACAAACAAAUAAAUCAAAACUUUCAACAACGGAUCUCUUGGUUCUGGCAUCGAUGAAGAACGCAGCAAAAUGCGAUAAGUAAUGUGAAUUGCAGAAUUCAGUGAAUCAUCGAAUCUUUGAACGCACAUUGCGCCCGCUGGUAUUCCGGCGGGCAUGCCUGUUCGAGCGUCAUUUCAACCCUCAAGCCCCCGGGUUUGGUGUUGGGGAUCGGCUCUGCCCUUCUGGGCGGUGCCGCCCCCGAAAUACAUUGGCGGUCUCGCUGCAGCCUCCAUUGCGUAGUAGCUAACACCUCGCAACUGGAACGCGGCGCGGCCAUGCCGUAAAACCCCAACUUCUGAAUGUUGACCUCGGAUCAGGUAGGAAUACCCGCUGAACUUAAGCAUAUCAAUAAGCGGAGGAAAAGAAACCAACAGGGAUUGCCCUAGUAACGGCGAGUGAAGCGGCAACAGCUCAAAUUUGAAAUCUGGCUUUCGGGCCCGAGUUGUAAUUUGUAGAGGAUACUUUUGAUGCGGUGCCUUCCGAGUUCCCUGGAACGGGACGCCAUAGAGGGUGAGAGCCCCGUCUGGUUGGAUGCCAAAUCUCUGUAAAGUUCCUUCGACGAGUCGAGUAGUUUGGGAAUGCUGCUCUAAAUGGGA